rnacentral:rRNA from 1 species
UACGAAGGGGGCUAGCGUUGUUCGGAAUUACUGGGCGUAAAGGGCGCGUAGGCGGUGUUUCAAGUCAGGCGUGAAAGCCCCGGGCUCAACCUGGGAACCGCGCUUGAGACUGGCACGCUCGAGUUCGGGAGAGGAUGGUGGAAUUCCCAGUGUAGAGGUGAAAUUCGUAGAUAUUGGGAAGAACACCGAUGGCGAAGGCAGCCAUCUGGACCGACACUGACGCUGAGGCGCGAAAGCGUGGGGAGCAAACAGG